ACACUGCUGAGGAGUCCCAUACUAGAACGAAACGACCGUCCAGUGC
rfam:Schistosoma curassoni strain Dakar, Senegal genome assembly, scaffold: SCTD_scaffold0001363